AUUUUAAAUCGUUGUGGACUAAUAAAAAAGAAAAAAAAAUUCAACUGACACAAUACCAAAUGGAAUGGCCAGUAAUGCCAUUAAAAAAAAACAAACAAUACACGCAUGUCAAAUAGGAAAGCUUAGAUGGAAAAUCUCGCUAUGAACAUUUCGCAUGAUAGUACUGCGGAUGUAGCUGGAAAAUCUUCUGGAGAUUUUUGCUGGAAGUCCAGAAGGAGGAGGAGCACCAGAAUGCGAAGCAGCCAGGGCCAAACCAACUUCCAAGGAGAGCUUCUGCAAUUUUCACGGAAGUCCAAAGAGCAACGUUUAUUGUAUGUAUAUGGAUUGUUUCAUUAUAGCCAAUAAAAUAUAAAAUUAACUAA